rnacentral:rRNA from 1 species
GACGAACGCGGGCGGCGUGCUUAACACAUGCAAGUCGAACGCUGAAGCCCAGCUUGCUGGGUGGAUGAGUGGCGAACGGGUGAGUAACACGUGAGUAACCUGCCCCCUUCUUUGGGAUAACGCCCGGAAACGGGUGCUAAUACUGGAUAUUCACUGAUUCUCGCAUGGGGGUUGGUGGAAAGGUUUUUUCUGGUGGGGGAUGGGCUCGCGGCCUAUCAGCUUGUUGGUGGGGUGAUGGCCUACCAAGGCUUUGACGGGUAGCCGGCCUGAGAGGGUGACCGGUCACAUUGGGACUGAGAUACGGCCCAGACUCCUACGGGAGGCAGCAGUGGGGAAUAUUGCACAAUGGGCGAAAGCCUGAUGCAGCGACGCCGCGUGAGGGAUGGAGGCCUUCGGGUUGUAAACCUCUUUCGCUCAUGGUCAAGCCGCAACUUAGGGUUGUGGUGAGGGUAGUGGGUAAAGAAGCGCCGGCUAACUACGUGCCAGCAGCCGCGGUAAUACGUAGGGCGCGAGCGUUGUCCGGAAUUAUUGGGCGUAAAGGGCUUGUAGGCGGUUGGUCGCGUCUGCCGUGAAAUCCUCUGGCUUAACUGGGGGCGUGCGGUGGGUACGGGCUGACUUGAGUGCGGUAGGGGAGACUGGAACUCCUGGUGUAGCGGUGGAAUGCGCAGAUAUCAGGAAGAACACCGGUGGCGAAGGCGGGUCUCUGGGCCGUUACUGACGCUGAGGAGCGAAAGCGUGGGGAGCGAACAGG